rnacentral:rRNA from 1 species
AUUGAACGCUGGCGGCAGGCCUAACACAUGCAAGUCGAACGCGUGGCGGACGGGUGAGUUAUGUCUGGGAAACUGCCUGAUGGAGGGGGAUCACUACUGGAAACGGUCGCUAAUCCCGCAUACCAUCGGAUGUGCCCAGAUGGGAUUAGCUAGUAGGUGGGGUCACGGCUCACCUAGGCGACGAUCCCUCGCUGGUCUGAGAGGAUGACCAGCCACACUGGAACUGAGACACGGUCCAGACUCCUACGGGAGGCAGCAGUGGGGAAUAUUGCACAAUGGGCGCAAGCCUGAUGCAGCCAUGCCGCGUGUAUGAAGAAGGCCUUCGGGUUGUAAAGUACUUUCAGCGGGGAGGCGUUACCCGCAGAAGAAGCACCGGCUAACUCCGUGCCAGCAGCCGCGGUAAUUC